rnacentral:lncRNA from 10 species
GUUAGGGUUUGUGUCUGUCGUGUGGAAGCUUUGUUCAUUCGUCUUUUGCAAUAAAUCUUGCUACUGCUCAGUCUUUGGGUCCACACUGCUUUUAUGAGCUGUAGCAGUCACCACGAAGGUCUGCAGCUGCACUCCUGAGGCUAGCGAGACCACGAACCCACCGGGAGGAGCGAACGACUCCAGACGCGCUGACUUAAGAGCUGUAACAGCUUACCGCUAAGGUCUGCAGCUUCACUCCUGAGCCAGAGAGACCAGGAACCCACCUAGAAGGAACAAACUCCGGACAUGCCGCCUUUAAGAGCUGUAACACUCACCGCCAGGGUCCGCAGCUGCAUUCUUGAAGUCAGUGAGACCAAGAACCCACCAAUUCCAGACACACUGUCAUCAAAAAGUGGGAUAUCUUUUUAAACAGAGAUAACAUUGCAGAAUCUUGGAGUUGGAAAUAGACCUCAGCUGGGGUUUAGUCCUGUUUUCUCCUCAGAGCAGAAGUCCUGGGAUGCCGUUCUGGACUGAUUGUCAGUUUUUUCUCCUGUCCUUGAGCUAUUCUAAUGCCAGACAUCUGUGGCUUUACACAGCCAGGCUUUCAGUUAGAGAACUUGGUUAGCUCAGGUCAACAAAUGCUGCUCUGAGAACACUGACUCCCAUGUGGGGAGACUCUGCACCUGGAGCUCCGGGAGAGCCGGCUCAGGCCUCUUCCUGCUAUCCAGGGAACUGCAGUGGCGUUGGAGGGCCUUGCUGGGGCUGGGGCUGGGGAGAAGGGAUUCCAACCCUACUGAUAAUUCGUUUGGAAACACCGGGCUGUGGAUUUCAGAAGUUCUUGGGCAGCCUGAUUACCACUGGCAGUGAGCCGGGGACGAAGCCGAAGCUAUGAGUGACAGACGGAAAGAACUGGGGGCUUUGGUGAACCAGAGAACACUUAGCUCCUCCAGCCCUGAAGCAGGCGUCACCGCAGGGCUUAUGGUCCUAAGAGCCACUUAGUUUCCUUAUUCAUUAAACUAGUUUAAUUUGGGUUUUCUGCAUCCUGGAGGACACCAAGUCGGUGUGCGGAGGGACCCUGUAGACACGUGUGCAAAGAAUAAGCCGACGAUCAUGGAAUUUCUGAUGACGCCACUGACACGUGGGAUGGAGGCCUCCUUCCCAGGGCACCCCUACACUCAUGACAAUGAAUCCUGGCUCUUAUUCACCCCUUUGGAUUUCACAAGCAAGUAGAGAAUGAUAUUUAAUUUUUCUCAUUUUCACACUGAUCACAAAACACACACGCAAUUCAUGAAACUGAAGGCAGAGAAGAACUUCCAAAAGCACUGGGCUGAAGAGAUACCAUGGAUAAAGAUGUGAUGCAUGGACAUCAGCUAAUGUGCAGGAAUGUAGAUAGCCAAAUGCAUGUGGCCAUCCCAAGACCUAUGUGUUCUUGGAAGAUUUUGCCAAUGUUUCCCCCCAAUUUUGCUGCAGCACGAAACAUUUCUGAAGUUCAACUUCAGGGAUUAUAUUGAGGAUCACUUUACACGUCACAUAAGAAAAUAACUUUCUUCUUCAGCUUAGGAGUCAAUUGUGAUAUUGAUAGGAUUUUUAGCACCUCUCUUGGUACAAAAGAGGAAGGAGAAUUAAGCCUAUAGUGCAGGCAAAUAAAUGAUUGCAAUAAGGAAAUCCGUGGACCAACCAGAAUGUGGGCUUCCUCAGUGACUACAGAAAUUACCAGGAAAAUGGAAGAGAAAUGGGCCCAGGUAAUGACAGUGCUUUCAAGCUGUCCCAGUCAAUAAAAAUGCUUGAUAAAUGGUUUCUCAGCCUUGCCAUUGGGAAAAGGAGAGAAGGAACUACUCUGGCUGUUACUCCCUACACCUUCCUUAUCCCCAGUACUGUGGCCCAUGCCUCAAGUUCUGUGGACAAUAAGAAACAAACAGCAACAAAACAUAUCAACUCGAGCUUUUGGACGUGAGGGCCAGAUAUAUGGUUGAAGCCUGGAAAGCAAAGGGAAUAAAGAAAUAAAAAGACAUAAAAUAUGAACCCACAUGUCCUCUAAAGUCUUUAUGUUUCAGAAUAAUCCUUUUUGUUUCUUUAAAUUCCAGAACCUGUACUCCCUUCCUUUUUCCCUCCUAAGAGUACAGGCCUGAAGGAGCUAUAGGUGAGCUUUCUGAAAAGAAGCACCCUCUGCUUUACAUUAUGGCCCUGCAAUAGGAACGAGCUCUCCAGUGGGCACACAAACCCAGGCGCGGUCCCCAUGAGGUCACUCUUCUGCUUGGCCUCCACCAUGAGCC